rnacentral:tRNA from 1 species
GGAGGGUUGGCAGAAUGGUAAUGCACCACUUUCGAAAAGUGGCGAGUGAAAGCUCUUGCAGGUUCGAGUCCUGUGCCCUCCG